rnacentral:rRNA from 1 species
GGACGGGUGAGUAAUGUCUGGGGAUCUGGCCUGAUGAGGGGGAUAACUACUGGAAACGGUGGCUAAUACCGCAUAACGUCGCAAGACCAAAGUGGGGGACCUUCGGGCCUCACGCAUCAGGAUGAACCCAGAUGAGAUUAGCUAGUUGGUGAGGUAAUGGCUCACCUAGGCGACGAUCUCUAGCUGGUCUGAGAGGAUGAUCAGCCACACUGGGACUGAGACACGGCCCAGACUCCUACGGGAGGCAGCA